rnacentral:tRNA from 1 species
GCGGGCAUGGUCUAGUGGCUAUGACGUCUGCUUCACACGCAGACGAUCCCGGGUUCGAUCCCCGGUUCCCGUA